AGCCUGAUGCAGCGACGCCGCGUGAGGGAUGACGGCCUUCGGGUUGUAAACCUCUUUCAGCACAGACGAAGCGCAAGUGACGGUAUGUGCAGAAGAAGGACCGGCCAACUACGUGCCAGCAGCCGCGGUAAUACGUAGGGUCCGAGCGUUGUCCGGAAUUACUGGGCGUAAAGAGCUCGUAGGUGGUUUGUCGCGUUGUUCGUGAAAACUCACAGCUUAACUGUGGGCGUGCGGGCGAUACGGGCAGACUUGAGUACUGCAGGGGAGACUGGAAUUCCUGGUGUAGCGGUGGAAUGCGCAGAUAUCAGGAGGAACACCGGUGGCGAAGGCGGGUCUCUGGGCAGUAACUGACGCUGAGGAGCGAAAGCGUGGGGAGCGAACAGGAUUAGAUACCCUGGUAGUCCACGCCGUAAACGGUGGGUACUAGGUGUGGGUUUCCUUCCUUGGGAUCCGUGCCGUAGCUAACGCAUUAAGUACCCCGCCUGGGGAGUACGGCCGCAAGGCUAAAACUCAAAGAAAUUGACGGGGGCCCGCACAAGCGGCGGAGCAUGUGGAUUAAUUCGAUGCAACGCGAAGAACCUUACCUGGGUUUGACAUGCACAGGACGCUGGUAGAGAUAUCAGUUCCCUUGUGGCC
rnacentral:rRNA from 1 species